rnacentral:rRNA from 1 species
GUUUUCGGACUGAGUAAAGCGGCGGACGGGUGAGUAACGCGUAGGAAUCUACCCAGUAGUGGGGGACAACUUAGGGAAACUUAGGCUAAUACCGCAUACGCCCUGAGGGGGAAAGCGGGGGAUCUUCGGACCUCGCGCUAUUGGAAGAGCCUGCGUUAGAUUAGCUAGUUGGUGGGGUAAAGGCUCACCAAGGCGACGAUCUAUAGCUGGUCUGAGAGGAUGAUCAGCCACACUGGGACUGAGACACGGCCCAGACUCCUACGGGAGGCAGCAGUGGGGAAUAUUGCGCAAUGGGCGAAAGCCUGACGCAGCCAUGCCGCGUGUGUGAAGAAGGCCUUCGGGUUGUAAAGCACUUUCAAUUGGGAGGAAGGGUUUAACGUUAAUAGCGUUGAAUCUUGACGUUACCUUUAGAAGAAGCACCGGCUAACUCCGUGCCAGCAGCCGCGGUAAUACGGAGGGUGCGAGCGUUAAUCGGAAUUACUGGGCGUAAAGCGCGCGUAGGCGGUUUGUUAAGUCGGAUGUGAAAUCCCCGGGCUCAACCUGGGAACUGCACCCGAUACUGGCCGACUUGAGUGCGAGAGAGGGAGGUAGAAUUCCAUGUGUAGCGGUGAAAUGCGUAGAUAUAUGGAGGAAUACCGGUGGCGAAGGCGGCCUCCUGGCUCGACACUGACGCUGAGGUGCGAAAGCGUGGGUAGCAAACAGGAUUAGAUACCCUGGUAG